CGCCGUGUCGUGCCGUGCUGAAUCAAGCCGGACCGCAACAGCCGCGCCACGGCAUGGCUCGGCACAGCUCCUCUAUCCCAUGUCAUGUUAUCGUCUGCCACGCGUUUGAUAACUGCCACCUUCGUCCGUGCGUGCGUACGUGACGCGCCCUUACGCGUCUUCUCUCGCGGACGAUCUUGCCAACAAUUUCCGGUGACGUGUAUUUUCGCUUCAUCCGAUCAAUUGUUACUCGCGUUUCAUCUUUUUCUUUCCGACCUGUCGAAUCGGUACUAUUUUACAAUAAUGCAUGAAUUGGAGUAGUAACGUUGAUCGGUUCAUGGUAUCGUUUCGUUAAUUUACAAGUGAAUCUGACGUGAACGAGGUGAACUAUUUGAGAUAGUGUCCAAUGGAGACCGCGAAGAAGACCGGUUGAUCCACGUGAGUCGCUAUGGAAUCGUCGGAUGGAAAGUUUGGAAUAUACUACGUGGGUUCGAUCUUCGUGGGAGGCUGCGCAGCGCGUAAAGAUAAACAUCCAUACGCAAGAAUAACAUCUUCUAGAUCCCUCUAAUCACAACACUCAGAGGAUACUCCGUACAUAAGCGAGGAACAUGGGUAAGAAAACACUUUUGAUAGAGCCAUCGGAAAAAUGAGAGAGCGGCCUGGCAAUUCAUCAAGGGAGAUCAUUAUUCGUGAUAACAGAGAAAACUGGAUCGCGCAUAUAACAAGCAAGGGCAAACGCAACACGCUGGGAAAUGUGUAUAAAAAAAGGGAAAGAAAAGAGCUAGCAACCUUGAUCAGCUCUCACGUGCAGUAAAAUUUACAUGGACGUGGAGAGAGAUGGGUCCCGGAGGUUCAAUUACGAGAUUGCCAAUAUGCAAGCGACAUGGCGGUGGCGGCCAUCGCUUUGGCUGAUGAGGCUAAUGGAUGGUUGAAACCUGAGAAGAACGGCAAAGAGGAAAAAGAGGCCAAGGGAGAGGCCCCUGACAGCCACUAAGUGCGCUCCGUCCUUCUCCACCCUUCCCCAAUUCCCCCUUCCUUUCUCGUCCUUUCGGUCCCAGCCCUGUUCUCUCUCGUCUCUGCAACACUCUGCCCGCUGCGGAUGCCCUUAUGUGAAACCUAAUCACUUUUAGCGCGCGUCACGGAUAUUUCGUAUUAUGUCUACAUUGCGUUCUCCGGUAUCAGCUGACUUUAUCAGCCGUCUCUCUACAGUUCAACCUUUCCCUCAUCUCCCUUCAUCCCCUUCGUUCAUAGAAUCAAGUCGCGCGUGCAGCAAACCCUAAUCGGCUGAUGCGUUUCUCAAGGAUAGAUCAUGGAGCCAAUUUUUGAAAAAACAUUUAAAAAAUCUUGCGAGCUCUUUAAUUUUAAACUUUAAUUUAAAUAAUUUUUUUUUCGAUUCAAUGAUUGUAUACAUUCAAGUAUCGUCUUUUUUGUAUUUAUACUUUGCCGCUAGUAAUGACAUAUAAUAAACAAAUACACUUUAUAAUGCGUGAUUACAAAUUACGUGGAUAGUGUAGUUACAAUGGAAAAGUAUAAUUUGUAAAUAAUGCAAUAUUUUUCUUUUUAUGUUGUUAAAUCGAUACGCAUAUGCGAAUGUACGUAAUAACGACACAUUUGCGUGUUUAUACUAAUGUAUGAAAUACUCUAAUGCCACAAUUACGUAUCAUCAAAGUAACACGUGCACCGAGGAAAAUUGAUUUUUCUAUAUAAUUCAUAAUAUGUGAUC